rnacentral:rRNA from 8 species
CUAAAACUUUCAACAACGGAUCUCUUGGUUCUGGCAUCGAUGAAGAACGCAGCGAAAUGCGAUAAGUAAUGUGAAUUGCAGAAUUCAGUGAAUCAUCGAAUCUUUGAACGCACAUUGCGCCCCUUGGUAUUCCGGGGGGCAUGCCUGUUCGAGCGUCA